rnacentral:rRNA from 1 species
CCAGCAGCUGCGGUAAUUCCAGCUCCAAUAGCGUAUAUUAAAGUUGUUGCAGUUAAAACGCUCGUAGUCUGGUGUGGAGUGUGUGGGGGUGUGGGUCGAUAGAUUUGCAUACCCGCGCACUUGUUCUGCCAGCAAUGGCCCAGUUUACUUUGAGGAAAUUAGAGUGUUCAAAGCAGGCGAUUGCUUGAAUACUGCAGCAUGGAAUAAUGGAAUAGGACUCGCGUCUUAUUUUGUUGGUUUGGAGAUGUGAGUAAUGAUGAAUAGGGACAGUUGGGGGCAUUGGUAUUCAGUAGUCAGAGGUGAAAUUCUUGGAUUUACUGAAGACUAACUAGUGCGAAAGCAUUUGCCAAGGAUGUUUUCAUUGAUCAAGAACGAAAGU